rnacentral:misc_RNA from 1 species
GGAAUCCCUGAAACAAUAAUCCAAAGAGCUGAAGACUUGUAUUUUUCUGCUUAUGCAGUUGAAGUUUCUUCAGAAAGGAUUGAAGAAAGAAAAAAAACAGUUCUAUUCUGGUGGGACUGUUAAUAGCUUCCAUGAAGCCCAUUUUCCACCAAGGGGAACUACAGCAGGAGCUCUUGAUCACAAUACCAAUUCAGGAAAGGUGGAAGUUAUAGAGAGGAAGGAUGUUGAGAGUGCUAUUACCAUAAUAUGCCAGAGGAAGCUGAUUGAGCUUUACAAACAGAAAAACACAUCAGAACUUUUAGCUGUGCACUGUGUUGCUAUUGGUGCCAGGGAACAGCCACCUCCAUCAACAAUAGGUUCUUCAUGUGUGUAUGUGAUGCUGAGACCGGACAAGAGACUGUAUGUUGGAGUG